rnacentral:rRNA from 1 species
AGAGGGUGCAAACGUUGCUCGGAUUUACUGGGCGUAAAGCGCGUGUAGGCGGACUCGCAAGUCGGUUGUGAAAUCCCUGGGCUCAACCUAGGAACUGCAUCCGAAACUGCUUGUCUUGAGUAAUGGAGAGGGUGGCGGAAUUCCCGGUGUAGAGGUGAAAUUCGUAGAUAUCGGGAGGAACAUCAGUGGCGAAGGCGGCCACCUGGACAUUUACUGACGCUGAGACGCGAAAGCGUGGGGAGCAAACAGGGAUUAGAUACCCUGGUAGUCCACGCCGUAAACGAUGAGCAUUAGGUGCAGCGGAUAUUGACCUCUGCUGUGCCGUAGCUAACGCGUUAAAUGCUCCGCCUGGGAGUACGGCCGCAAGGCUA